UUUUUUGAGCCGAUAAGCUAAAGCCAGGGAACCUUAAUCAUUGGUCAGUGUGCACGCCACAUUACGUGUGGAAGCCUAAUGGCCAGAUCUGGUGCCCACCUCGAACCACAAGGGUUCAAACAAAC
rnacentral:sRNA from 1 species